AUUGAACGCUGGCGGCAUGCUUUACACAUGCAAGUCGAACGGUAACAGGGAGCUUGCUCCGCUGACGAGUGGCGAACGGGUGAGUAAUAUAUCGGAACGUACCCAAGAGUGGGGGAUAACGUAGCGAAAGUUACGCUAAUACCGCAUACGAUCUAAGGAUGAAAGCAGGGGAUCUUCGGACCUUGUGCUCCUGGAGCGGCCGAUAUCUGAUUAGCUAGUUGGUGAGGUAAAGGCUCACCAAGGCGACGAUCAGUAGCUGGUCUGAGAGGACGACCAGCCACACUGGAACUGAGACACGGUCCAGACUCCUACGGGAGGAAGAAGUGGGGAAUUUUGGAAAAUGGGCGCAAGCCUGAUCCAGCAAUGCCGCGUGAGUGAAGAAGGCCUUCGGGUUGUAAAGCUCUUUUGUCAGGGAAGAAACGGGAGUGGCUAAUAUCCAUUCCUAAUGACGGUACCUGAAGAAUAAGCACCGGCUAACUACGUGCCAGCAGCCGCCGUAAUAC
rnacentral:rRNA from 1 species